rnacentral:lncRNA from 1 species
UUAUUUUGUGCAGUAUUCUUUAUAAUUUUUAAUUCAUCUAAAUAUUUCAGCAUAUCUUGUCAGUACAAGCUCCACGACAACUGAGACAGCAGAACCUACAACAUCUGCAGCCAGUGCAAGCUCUUCUACAACUGAGUCUCAAACAGCAGAACCUACAACCUCUGCUACAACAAGAUCUCCAUCAAUAGUGUAUCUAACAUCAGCUCUGUCAACAUCUCCUGUCAGUACAAGCUCUUCUACAACUGAGUCUCAAACAGCAGCAUCAACAAGUAAGUAAUAAUAUAUAUGUCCAGUUGUCUGAAGAC